GAGUUUGAUCUUGGCUCAGAUUGAACGCUGGCGGCAUGCCUUACACAUGCAAGUCGAACGGCAGCAUGAUCUAGCUUGCUAGAUUGAUGGCGAGUGGCGAACGGGUGAGUAAUACAUCGGAACGUGCCCUGUAGUGGGGAUAACUAGUCGAAAGAUUAGCUAAUACCGCAUACGACCUGAGGGUGAAAGUGGGGGACCGCAAGGCCUCAUGCUAUAGGAGUCGGCCGAUGUCUGAUUAGCUAGUUGGUGGGGUAAAGGUCCCACCAAGGCGACGAUCAGUAGCUGGUCUGAGUAGGACGAUCAGCCACACUGGGACUGAGACACGGCCCAGACUCCUACGGGAGGCAGCAGUGGGGAAUUUUGGACAAU
rnacentral:rRNA from 1 species